rnacentral:misc_RNA from 1 species
ACCCAGGUCUCGUCAAUCUACAAUAGCCCACUCGGCCUCCCUCCUCGACAGCGAGCUCGUCACUCAAGAAGACAAUGUCGCUCUGUUUGAAGACCUCCGAAUCUUCCCGGAGCACGCAAAUUCAAACCCUGAACCGAGGAGCUUUCCAUACAGCGUGAAGCAGCAAUGCUGGGAGAAGGCGGAGAAGGUCAAGGGCCGAGACCCAGACCGGUGGCGCCGCGACCCCCUUGGUAAUAUUGUCUUUAGAAAGCUUGUGGGUUGUCCCGGUUGCUUGUGCCACGAUUACGAUCACAUUGUGCCUUACUCUAAGGUACUUCUGAUAAUGCGUUCCCUUUUCUCCUUUACUUUGAGAUUCUAAGAAGCGGGUUUGCUCUAGUAUAUGAGUGUUGCAUUUUCUUUGUGGGUGAUGCCUGAUUGGCUUAUUUUAUAAAGAUUAUUUCGUUCGUUCACGUUUGUAAUUACAAAUGACAAAAUCAAAUUGUAAGCGCUUUGUUUUCUGGAUGUUGCUUUUCUCGGUUGUGCCUGGGAUUAUGUGAAGUGGGUUGCUUUGGUGUUUGGAGCUGAGAUUUAUGGAUGGGUAGCUCUUUCAUGUUUUCUCAAGAACUAGAAAGAACAUAAGUGCCGGAGAAAAUGCACUUGAUGAUGGAAAAAGAGCAUAAUCGAGAUAGAGUGAACAGAUAGUUAACAAAUUAAUAGCAAAAGGCAAGUUUUUUAGAUGCCAACGAAAUUGAAGCUACUUCUUGUGUUUGUUUGGGUUAGCGAGGGCAAUUUUAGUGCUGGAAGAUGGUCAUUUGCACUAAAUGCUUAGUGCCAGUGGUUUGCCUGAGUGUUGUUCCGUUAUGAACAAUGAUACUAUGACUGCAGAUGAGUGGGCAUAAAACAGAAAAUGUGGGCUUUUGCCUUGAUGCAGAUGCUACAAUUACAUGUAUUUAUGUGAUAGAGCUGGAUAGGAAUUGCACCAUUUGAAAUGUAUUAAUUAUUUCAUUUUAUGAAUGAGCAAUGUUCCUAUGAUUGGCUUGAGUGUGUUAUUGAGCUGUCACUACUGAUAUUUGUGUUUAACAAUUAUUGGAUCAAAUUUCUGCCUUUAAAUGGAGUGUUUGAAUAUUUUCUUUAACAGUGAUAGGGUUGAUCAUGUUGAAAAAACAAUUAAGUCUUGCUUGAUUGAUUUCUGCCUUUAAAAACUUGAAGUUUUAUGUGUUGAUUGUAUGCAAUAACAAUUCUUAAAUACACUUCUUUAAACUUAGUUAGUGGGAUAUGAUAAAUUGUCAAUAGUGCAAUUGCUCUGAAUAUGUGAGUUAGAGACAAGGUAACAAUCAAUUCUUUUGGUGUUGAGGUAGAAGUAGGUGGAAGAAAAAAAGAGUCUGGCAUGGGCGCAUCGCAUGUGUGAAAAAAUCUAAGAGGUGAUAUGGAAGCUUGCAAUAAUGUAGAAGUAGGUGAAUGCUGUGGUAGAUGUUGACACUAGAGAUCACUAGCAGCAGCAUCAUUUAGAGUGCACUACCAUGAUAGAUUGGACGAUAGAACAGCUGAAGCAAGAGCAGAUCAGUUUGAAUUUGAGCUUAGAGAUGCAUAAUGAAGCAUCUAUUGAGUGUGGUGAAGGUGUAGGAGUAGGACCCUUUUUCUUUUUAUUUUGUGAGAAAGUAAAAUCUGGUCAAUUCAACUUCAUCAGACUUGAUAAGCUGGCAAAUUUCUCCUUGUUAGACAUCAUAUUAUAGGCUUAAAUUAUCUGGUGCCUUCUCUGUAAUUUAAUCUUCUUUCAAAGAUACUAGAAUUAUGCAGUGGGCAGCUUAAGGCGAGUGGCGACAGGGUACUUUAUUGCCUUAUGUUAGAGGCGAGGGGAGGCGAGGGCCUUUUUU